AUUGAACGCUGGCGGCAGGCCUAACACAUGCAAGUCGAACGGUAACAGGAAACAGCUUGCUGUUUCGCUGACGAGUGGCGGACGGGUGAGUAAUGUCUGGGAAACUGCCUGAUGGAGGGGGAUAACUACUGGAAACGGUAGCUAAUACCGCAUAACGUCGCAAGACCAAAGAGGGGGACCUUCGGGCCUCUUGCCAUCGGAUGUGCCCAGAAGGGAUUAGCUAGUAGGUGGGGUAACGGCUCACCUAGGCGACGAUCCCUAGCUGGUCUGAGAGGAUGACCAGCCACACUGGAACUGAGACACGGUCCAGACUCCUACGGGAGGCAGCAGUGGGGAAUAUUGCACGAUGGGCGCAAGCCUGAUGCAGCCAUGCCGCGUGUAUGAAGAAGGCCUUCGGGUUGUAAAGUACUUUCAGCGGGGAGGAAGGGAGUAAAGUUAAUACCUUUGCUCAUUGACGUUACCCGCAGAAGAAGCACCGGCUAACUCCGUGCCAGCAGCCGCGGUAA
rnacentral:rRNA from 1 species